UGAUUCAGCAUCAGAGAGAUAAUUGUCAGGGUGAGCAUGGAUUUGGGGUGGUGGUCCAUCCAAAUCAUAGAGCCAGUUUUUCCUAUCACGUACACUUGUCCUAGGGUCUGGCAGGGUAAACGAGUGUACUGGUUGGCUGUUAGUGAAGAUUUCAAACACAUCUGGGCCUAGGUUUCUAAUGAUACCGGUGUUGACACAAAAUCGGAUGUUCAUAGGUCGUAUAACCCUGACUACUGGGUAAUAUA
rnacentral:lncRNA from 1 species